GGUGGUGAUCUUGGUGGAUACGGAGGCGGAAGUUACGGUUUAGGGGGUGGUGGCGGUGGUGAUUUUGGCGGUUUGGGCGGUUUCGGUGGAAGUUUUGGACGUACUCAACAAUGCAAAUGUGCGAAGACAUGCAACAAAGGGCAAAAGUUUGUUGGAAGAUGCCCCUGGUGCCAGAAGAAAUGCCAACUAGUGUUUUGUUGUAAUCGAGGGAAAUAUUAGAUACAUGCUACAAGGGCAGGCAUGUCGGCUGGACACAAAGCGAAAUGGAAUUCUACAUCGACAUCGAGACUGAAGUAAAGAUCUGAUUUUUAUUUCACAAUAUUUUAUAUUGCUGACUCUUUCUAAUUAUAUUUUUAGCAUUCA